rnacentral:rRNA from 1 species
UACGUAGGGUGCAAGCGUUGUCCGGAAUUAUUGGGCGUAAAGAGCUCGUAGGCGGUCUGUCGCGUCUGCUGUGAAAACUCAGGGCUUAACCCUGAGCUUGCAGUGGGUACGGGCAGACUAGAGUGCGGUAGGGGAGACUGGAAUUCCUGGUGUAGCGGUGAAAUGCGCAGAUAUCGAGGGAGGAACACCGGUGGGCGAAGGCGGGU